rnacentral:rRNA from 1 species
UAGACCCGUGGCGAACAGCUCAGUAACACGUGGCCAAACUACCCUGUGGACGGGGAUAAUCUCGGGAAACUGAGGCUAAUCCCCGAUAGGGCUUCCAUCCUGGAGUGGAGGAAGUCCGAAAGGUUGCGCUGCGGCACCACAGGAUGUGGCUGCGGCCGAUUAGGUAGACGGUGGGGUAACGGCCCACCGUGCCAGUAAUCGGUACGGGUGAUGAGAGUCAGAGCCCGGAGACGGUAUCUGAGACAAGAUACCGGGCCCUACGGGGCGCAGCAGGCGCGAAACCUUUACACUGCACGACAGUGCGAUAGGGGGAUUCCGAGUGCGAGGGCAUACAGUCCUCGCUUUUCUGGAUCGUAAGGAGAUGCAAGAAUAAGGGCUGGGCAAGACCGGUGCCAGCCGCCGCGGUAAUACCGGCAGCCCGAGUGAUGGCCGAUAUUAUUGGGCCUAAAGCGUUCGUAGCCGGCCAGUCAAGUCUGUUGGGAAAUCCACGCGCUCAACGCGUGGGCGUCCAGCGGAAACUGACUGGCUUGGGGCCGGAGGACUCGAGGGGUACGUCCGGGGUAGGAGUGAAAUCCCGUAAUCCUGGACGGACCACCGGUGGCGAAAGCGCCUCGAGAGGACGGACCCGACGGUGAGGAACGAAAGCCAGGGUCUCGAACCGGAUUAGAUACCCGGGUAGUCCUGGCCGUAAACAAUGUCUGCUAGGUGUGGCGCAGGCUACGAGCCUGCGCUGUGCCGCAGGGAAGCCG